AAAUGUAUGGGGGCUAAAGCACGUUCCCGAAGCUUCGGGAUUUAUGAUUAGAUUCAUAGAUCGGUAGGGGAGCGUCGUGUUCAGCAGUGAAGCUAUAGCGGAAGCAAUGGUGGAGCGGACACGAGUGAGAAUGCAGGCAUGAGUAGCGAUAAGACAGGUGAGAAUCAUGUCCGCCGAAAACCCAAGGUUUCUCCGGCUAUGUUCGUCAGACGGAGGUUAGGCGGUCCCUAAGGUGAGGCCAGAACGCGUAGCCGAUGGACAUCCAGUAGACAUUCUGGACCCGGGUUUAUCAGCCAUGGGAGGACGCUUCUCGAUAUUCCAUCCCGCACUGUUGGUAGUUGCGGGCUAGGCAAAGGUUUGGCUAGUUGAAAGACUAGCGUAAUGACUAAUGCCGGGGAAGGGAACUCUUCGGAGUGAACGAACUGGAAUUGAGGGGGGCCGAGAAAAGCCCCGCAGCAUUAAUGAUAAAUUCGACCGUACUGUAAACCGACACAGGUGGGUGAGUCGAGGAGACUAAGGCGUUCGAGAGAACUCUCGUUAAGGAACUAGGCAAAUGAGCCCCGUAACUUCGGGAUAAGGGGCGCCAGCGCAAGCUGGCCGCAGCGAAGCAGCCCAGGCGACUGUUCACCAAAAACACAGGUCUCUGCUAACACGAAAGUGGAUGUAUAGGGGCUGACGCCUGCCCAAUGCCAGUAGGUUAACAGGAGAUGUCAGGAGUAAUCCGAAGCAUUGAAUCGAAGCCCUGGUGAAUGGCGGCCGUAACUCUAACGGUCCUAAGGUAGCGAAAUUCCUUGUCGGCUAAAUACCGACCCGCAUGAAAGGCGUAACGACUUGGGCACUGUCUCAACGAGAAGCUCGGUGAAAUUGUAGCACCCGUGAAGAUGCGGGUUACGCGCAGUAGGACGGAAAGACCCCGUGGAGCUUUACUACACCCUGUCACUGCGAAUUGGGUGUAGAUGUAGAGAGUAGGUGGGAGCUUAGGCACCAAUGGAACACCACCCUUCUACAUCUGGUUCGCUAACCGUCACCAUUAUCUGGUGACGAGACAAUGACAGGCGGGUAGUUUGACUGGGGCGGUCGCCUCCCAAAAGGUAACGGAGGCGCCUAAAGUUGCACUCAGGCUGGUUGGAAAUCAGCCGUCGAGCGUAUAGGUAUAUUGUGCGAUUGACUGCGAGACAAACAGGUCGAGCAGGGACGAAAGUCGAGCUAAGUGACCCUCUGGUGGUGCGUGGGCACGCCAGGGUUCAUCGGAUAUAAGCUACCCCGGGGAUAACAGGCUGAUCUUGCCCGAGCGCUCACAGCGACGGCAUGGUUUGGCACCUCGAUGUCGGCUCGUCUCAUCCUGGGGCUGUACACGGUCCCAAGGGUUCCGGAGUUCACGGAUUAAAGAGGCACGCGAGCUGGGUUCAGAACGGCGUGAGCCAGUUCGGUCCCUAUCCACUGCGCGCGGAGGAAAUUUGAGAGGACUCGCUCCUAGUACGAGAGGACCGGAGUGAACCGACCUCUGGUGUACCUGUUGUGCCGCCAGGCGCAUACGCAGGGUAGCCACGUCGGGUCGUGAUAAGCGCUGAAAGCAUCUAAGCGCCAAGCACACCUCAAGAUGAGAUUUCCCAUCGAAAGAGUAAGGCCCCCGGAAGACUACCGGGUUGAUAGGUCGCAGGUGUGAGCGCAGUAAUGUGUUAAGCUGAGCGAUACUAAUUGGCCGAGGGC
rnacentral:rRNA from 1 species